rnacentral:rRNA from 1 species
AUUGAACGCUGGCGGCAGGCCUAACACAUGCAAGUCGAGCGGAUGAAGGGAGCUUGCUCCUGGAUUCAGCGGCGGACGGGUGAGUAAUGCCUAGGAAUCUGCCUGGUAGUGGGGGCUAACGUCCGGAAACGGGCGCUAAUACCGCAUACGUCCUGAGGGUGAACGUGGGGGAUCUUCGGACCUCACGCUAUCAGAUGAGCCUAGGUCGGAUUAGCUAGUUGGUGAGGUAAAGGCCUACCAAGGCGACGAUCCGUAACUGGUCUGAGAGGAUGAUCAGUCACACUGGAACUGAGACACGGUCCAGACUCCUACGGGAGGCAGCAGUGGGGAAUAUUGGACAAUGGGCGAAAGCCUGAUCCAGCCAUGCCGCGUGUGUGAAGAAGGUCUUCGGAUCGUAAAGCACUUUAAGUAGGGAGGAAGGACAGUAAGUGAAUACCUGGCUGUUUUGACGUUACCAACAGAAUAAGCACCGGCUAACUUCGUG